GACGGGACUGGUCAACCGGGUCCGCUCGGUCUUCGGUACGGAGCUGGGCCUGCGCGCGGUGUUCGAGACGCCGACCCCGGCG
rnacentral:tRNA from 1 species